UGGCGAACGGGUGAGUAACACGUGGGUGAUCUGCCCUGCACUCUGGGAUAAGCCUGGGAAACUGGGUCUAAUACCGGAUAGUACCAUGCUUUAGUGUGUGUGGUAGAAAGUUUUUUCUGUGUAGGAUGAGCCCGCGGCCUAUCAGCUUGUUGGUGGGGUAAUGGCCUACCAAGGCGGCGACGGGUAGCCGGACUGAGAGGUUGGUCGGCCACAUUGGGACUGAGAUACGGCCCAG
rnacentral:rRNA from 1 species